CUGUCAUUCAAGCAGAUUCUAUGAGGUUCUGUGUAUCCGUGAGACUAUUGUUAUAUGCAGACGUGUCACUGCACUUACUAGUAGCCAUGAUACUGACAGAUUGAAUGAACCCGGUAAAACUUUACUGGCUUAUUGUAAAACAACUAGAAGCUGACAAAUAUUCCGGUUAAUUCUUCAGUAAAUUAUCUGGUAACACUAGCGGUUUUUUCCCGCGGAAACUGAUAACGUGACUCUAAAUGUUGCCGCGAAAGAUGCUUCUGGGAUGCCAUAUUGGUUUUUUGGUUCGUGCCGAAGGUUGAUGUCUAAUUCCCUAAUGGCCCAAUUUAAUUUAAAGGGAAAUAAAGGGAGGCGGUCCAUAAUGGACUUAGAAAUUUACAAAGUUGUCCGAGAUAGUGUAAUGAUCAGUCAGCUGAGCUGCAAUGAAGCCGAGAUAAUAACAGCACAGUUUCGGCUCAUCUAAAAUAUGAGCCGGACAGAAGAG